UACGUAGGGUGCAGGCGUUAAUCGGAAUUACUGGGCGUAAAGCGUGCGCAGGCGGUUUGCUAAGACAGGUGUGAAAUCCCCGGGCUUAACCUGGGGACUGCGCUUGUAACUGGCAAGCUAGAGUGUGGCAGAGGGGGGUGGAAUUCCAGGUGUAGCAGUGAAAUGCGUAGAGAUCUGGAGGAACACCGAUGGCGAAGGCAGCCCCCUGGGCUAACACUGACGCUCAUGCACGAAAGCGUGGGGAGCAAACAGG
rnacentral:rRNA from 1 species